CGCACAUAAGACAUGCAAGUCGAACGGAAGUCGUUAUAAUUGAAGCUGACAUGAACAGAGAACUUGUUCGAAGGAAUUUGACGUCGAUUUAUAACAAUGGCUUUAGUGGCGGACUGGUGAGUAACGCGUGAGCAACCUGCCUAUUAGAGGGGAAUAACAGUGAGAAAUCAUUGCUAAUACCGCAUAUGCCAUAGGAAUCACAUGAUUCUAGUGGGAAAGGAGUAAUCCGCUAAUAGAUGGGCUCGCGUCUGAUUAGAUAGUUGGUGGGGUAACGGCCUACCAAGUCAACGAUCAGUAGCCGGACUGAGAGGUUGAACGGCCACAUUGGGACUGAGAUACGGCCCAGACUCCUACGGGAGGCAGCAGUCGGGAAUAUUGCGCAAUGGAGGAAACUCUGACGCAGUGACGCCGCGUAUAGGAUGAAGGUCUUCGGAUUGUAAACUAUUGUCGUUAGGGAAGAGAAAGGACAGUACCUAAGGAGGAAGCUCCGGCUAACUACGUGCCAGCCGCAGC
rnacentral:rRNA from 1 species